rnacentral:rRNA from 1 species
UACGUAGGAUGCAAGCGUUGUCCGGAAUUAUUGGGCGUAAAGAGCGAGCAGGCGGUUUGGAAAGUUGGACGUGAAAUUUUAGGGCUUAACCCUAAAGGGUCGUCCAAAACUCCCAGACUAGAGUGCAGGAGAGGAAAGCGGAAUUCCCGGUGUAGCGGUGAAAUGCGUAGAUAUCAAGAGGAACACCUGAGGUGAAGACGGGUUGCUGGGCUGACACUGACGCUGGAGGCGACGGAAGCCAAGGGAGGCUAAACACGGG